rnacentral:rRNA from 1 species
CCAGACUCCUACGGGAGGCAGCAGUGGGGAAUAUUGCACAAUGGGGGAAACCCUGAUGCAGCGACGCCGCGUGAGUGAAGAAGUAUUUCGGUAUGUAAAGCUCUAUCAGCAGGGAAGAUAAUGACGGUACCUGAGUAAGAAGCCCCGGCUAAAUACGUGCCAGCAGCCGCGGUAAUACGUAUGGGGCAAGCGUUAUCCGGAUUUACUGGGUGUAAAGGGAGCGCAGGCGGCCUGCCAAGUCUGGUGUGAAAACCCGGGGCCCAACCCCGGGCCUGCAUUGGAAACUGGCGGGCUGGAGUGUCGGAGGGGCAGGCGGAAUUCCUAGUGUAGCGGUGAAAUGCGUAGAUAUUAGGAGGAACACCGGUGGCGAAGGCGGCCUGCUGGACGAUGACUGACGCUGAGGCUCGAAAGCGUGGGGAGCAAACAGGAUUAGAUACCCGCGUAC